UAGUAAGAAAAUUUUUUGGAUUAAGUUUCUCGAAACCUAGGGAGCUACCUUAACUUUUGGUUCUAGCCCUAGCAUAAGAGUGAAUGUGGCACAAUUCUAUUUAAAAUUUAAGGUAGAGAUUAAAUGUUAUUCGUCCUAGGUGAUAGCUAGUUAUGAUAUAAAGAUAUAUAAGUAUCGGAUAUAAUUUUAUUAUAUUAUUUUUGUAUAUAUAAUAAUUUAUUUUCUUAGUUAUGUGAGGAUAAGCUCGCAUAAAGUUCAGUUUAACUAAAAUUAUAUACAAAUCUAAGCUUGAAAUUAGCUGUGAUGUUGAAUUUGUUAAAAAUGCAUAUAUAAUAAAUCUUUAUAAUAUAUUAAGUUUAUAUUAUUCCAUUAUAUAAUUGAGAUAUAAUUGAUUUAUGCUAAAAUGAGUAUUAUUAUAAAUUAAAGUAAAAAUAAACAUAAAAUUUUUUAAAAAAAUUUUAUAACCAUUAUAAAAUAUAUUAUAGGAACUCGGCAAAAUUUAGCUCCGCCUGUUUAGCAAAAACAUGUCUCUUUG
rnacentral:rRNA from 1 species